AUUGAACGCUGGCGGCAGGCUUAACACAUGCAAGUCGAGCGGAGUGAUGGUGCUUGCACUAUCACUUAGCGGCGGACGGGUGAGUAAUGCUUAGGAAUCUGCCUAUUAGUGGGGGACAACAUCUCGAAAGGGAUGCUAAUACCGCAUACGUCCUACGGGAGAAAGCAGGGGAUCACUUGUGACCUUGCGCUAAUAGAUGAGCCUAAGUCGGAUUAGCUAGUUGGUGGGGUAGAGGCCUACCAAGGCGACGAUCUGUAGCGGGUCUGAGAGGAUGAUCCGCCACCGUGGGACUGGGGCACGGCCCAGACUCCUACGGGGGGCAGCAGUGGGGAAUAUUGGACAAUGGGGGGAACCCUGAUCCAGCCAUGCCGCGUGUGUGAAGAAGGCCUUAUGGUUGUAAAGCACUUUAAGCGAGGAGGAGGCUCUUUUGGUUAAUACCCAAGAUGAGUGGACGUUACUCGCAGAAUAAGCACCGGCUAACUCUGUGCCAGCAGCCGCCGUAA
rnacentral:rRNA from 1 species